CAGCAGCCGCGGGAAUACGAAGGGUGCAAGCGUUACUCGGAAUUACUGGGCGUAAAGCGUGCGUAGGUGGUGGUUUAAGUCCGUUGUGAAAGCCCUGGGCUCAACCUGGGAAUUGCAGUGGAUACUGGAUCACUAGAGUGUGGUAGAGGAUAGUGGAAUUUCCGGUGUAGCAGUGAAAUGCGUAGAGAUCGGAAGGAACAUCUGUGGCGAAGGCGACUAUCUGGGCCAACACUGACACUGAGGCACGAAAGCGUGGGGAGCAAACAGGAUUAGAUACCCGAGUAGUCCCUGUCUCUUAUAC
rnacentral:rRNA from 1 species